GCAACGGCAAAAUCCGUUGCCGGGAUUGGCGUCCUGUUCUGAAUCCACGGCACAACACGCGCCAUGCGUGUUUUUU
rnacentral:sRNA from 1 species